CUGUUCCAAAUAACUGAACCUAGGGCAUAGGACCUGUUUCAAAUAACUGAACCUAGGGUAUAGGACCUGUUUCAAAUAACUGAACCUAGGGUAUAGGACCUGUUUCAAAUAACUCUGAACCUAGGGUAUAGGACCUGUUCCAAAUAACUGAACCUAGGGUAUAGGACCUGUUCCAAAUAACUGAACCUAGGGUAUAGGACCUGUUCCAAACAACUCUGAACCUUGGGUAUAGGACCUGUUCCAAAUAACUGAACCUAGGGUAUAGGACCUGU